GAUGAACGCUGGCGGCGUGCCUAAUACAUGCAAGUCGAGCGAACGGACGAGAAGCUUGCUUCUCUGAUGUUAGCGGCGGACGGGUGAGUAACACGUGGAUAACCUACCUAUAAGACUGGGAUAACUUCGGGAAACCGGAGCUAAUACCGGAUAAUAUUUUGAACCGCAUGGUUCAAAAGUGAAAGACGGUCUUGCUGUCACUUAUAGAUGGAUCCGCGCUGCAUUAGCUAGUUGGUAAGGUAACGGCUUACCAAGGCAACGAUGCAUAGCCGACCUGAGAGGGUGAUCGGCCACACUGGAACUGAGACACGGUCCAGACUCCUACGGGAGGCAGCAGUAGGGAAUCUUCCGCAAUGGGCGAAAGCCUGACGGAGCAACGCCGCGUGAGUGAUGAAGGUCUUCGGAUCGUAAAACUCUGUUAUUAGGGAAGAACAUAUGUGUAAAUAACUGUGCACAUCUUGACGGUACCUAAUCAGAAAGCCACGGCUAACUACGUG
rnacentral:rRNA from 1 species